UGCGUAGGCGGGUUCUUAAGUCAGUGGUGAAAUCCUGCGGCUCAACCGUAGAACUGCCAUUGAAACUGAGAACCUUGAAUAUAAUUGAGGUAGGCGGAAUGAGUAGUGUAGCGGUGAAAUGCUUAGAUAUUACUCAGAACACCAAUUGCGAAGGCAGCUUACUAAACUAUUAUUGACGCUGAUGCACGAAAGCGUGGGGAGCGAACAGGAUUAGAUACCCUGGUAGUCC
rnacentral:rRNA from 1 species